rnacentral:tRNA from 1 species
GUGGGUGUAGCUCAAUUGGUUAGAGCGCCGCUCUGUGGAAGCGGAGGUUGUGGGUUCAAUCCCCAUCACUCACCCCA